rnacentral:rRNA from 1 species
CGUUUCUCCGCCGGCGACCGCGCACGGGUGAGUAACACGUAUGCAACCUGCCCCUGUCAGGGGGACGAACCCGCUGAAAGGCGGGCUAAACCCGCGUACAUGCCACCGGGGCAUCCCGGAGGCAGGAAAGGCUUCGGCCGGACAGGGAUGGGCAUGCGGCGCAUUAGGCAGUAGGCGGGGUAACGGCCCACCUAACCGACGAUGCGUAGGGGUUCUGAGAGGAAGGUCCCCCACACUGGUACUGAGACACGGACCAGACUCCUACGGAAGGCAGCAG